rnacentral:rRNA from 1 species
UACGAAGGGGGCUAGCGUUGCUCGGAAUCACUGGGCGUAAAGCGCACGUAGGCGGAUUGCUAAGUCAGGGGUGAAAUCCUGGAGCUCAACUCCAGAACUGCCUUUGAUACUGAGAAGCUUGAGUCCGGGAGAGGUGAGUGGAACUGCGAGUGUAGAGGUGAAAUUCGUAGAUAUUCGCAAGAACACCAGUGGCGAAGGCGGCUCACUGGCCCGGUACUGACGCUGAGGCACGAAAGCGUGGGGAGCAAACAGG